rnacentral:lncRNA from 1 species
GGCCCACCACAGUGAGCAGAAAGCAAGAAGGCAUGAGGCACCAGAGCAACGGCGUGAUAAUGUCAGCAUCAUGGUGAUGUGAGCUUUCCCAGUAAUCUCUUCCCUCCACCAUACAACGAAAAGGACAUUCAUGCUCCAACAGAGGACAUCCAAACACAACACAAAAAACAUCGGAGAGACCCACACAGCCAUACAAUGGAAGAUGGAGAGGCUGGAGUCCCCCUUGGAGGAGGUGGAAUGGGAUGAGGAAUCAGGACCAACAUGUUCAAGGUCAUCCGGCUCGGAAGGGGCAGAGGCUGCAGUCGACCCAGGCAGUCAGCUUUAAAGGGGCUCCUCCGAGGCGCUGGGCUUCCGCCUUGUGCUCUGGCACUUGUUGAAGAUGAACAUAGCGCCCCCAUUACAUCGGAAGCAGGUUCUAGCCUAUCAGGGAGGGGUGCUGGAGAGCCCCGAAUACAACCAAGCAUGCUGGGAAAGGCGGGAGCGUUCC